rnacentral:rRNA from 1 species
AUACGGAGGGUCCAGGCGUUAUCCGGAAUCAUUGGGUUUAAAGGGUCCGCAGGCGGUCAAUUAAGUCAGAGGUGAAAGCCCAUCGCUCAACGAUGGAACUGCCUUUGAUACUGGUUGACUUGAGUUAUACGGAAGUAGAUAGAAUAAGUAGUGUAGCGGUGAAAUGCAUAGAUAUUACUUAGAAUACCGAUUGCGAAGGCAGUCUACUACGUAUAUACUGACGCUGAGGGACGAAAGCGUGGGGAGCGAACAGGAGUAGAUACCCGGGUAGUCC